CAGAAAUGAGAAUCUGAGCACGUCUCCACCUGAUCUGGGGCCUGCACUCCCUGUGGGUACAGGUGACUGUGGGGACCCUCCAUAGGCAGCAAGCAGCAGAUCUUCUUUGGGGUUCUCUUAGUCCUACUGGCUCAGCCUGUGGGGGUGUGGCCAGUGUCCCACUUUUCUCCUGAGUGUGCAGUGACUUUGCUCCUGGGCCUGGUGAGGAGCCCCGGGUGCCUCUUAGCUCAGCUCCCACAGGCCAUCUGCAGACCCAGGCCUUCCCACAAGCUGGCCUGUCCACUCCUCCCCUCCUCAGCUCAUGUCCUGUACUGCCUCGCUGGCUGCUGACACCUCCCACUUCUAGGAAGCCCUCCCGGACUGGCAUCUGUGGUGACUUUUCUUGGAAGCUCUGAAAGGAUUCACCGUCGGGCUGAAGGAAGCAGUAUCCUCCCCCUCACACGAGUGGGUGACUUCGCUGUGUUUCAUGCCUUUGGUUUUGUUCCAAAGGGAUUUGGAUCCAGUCAGGAUGUGAAAAGCUGAGCCUGGCCUCCUCAGCUGAGGAUGACGCUCGGCAUGGGCUCCACUUUCUAACUGCCUAGACCUGCUCCACAGCCAUUGGCCCAAACCUCACCUUUGCCACGGCACUGGCAGAGCCUCUGACCUGGCCCUUGACUGUCCUUUCCCUGGAGCCAGGUGGGUACAGAUAACACUGCCAUUUUGACGCUGCCAGCGGCUUCUCACCCUCAGCUACUUUUCCGCAUGGUGGCCAUCGGUGUGGUGCCAGUGGCGCAGCACCUGCAGUGACGGUUAAGGUUUCCCUCAAGGUGCUCCUGCCACAGACCCCAAAACAGGGCUGACUUCUCGCUCGACGUGGCAUCCUGGACAAAGCGACAGUGCUGCACACACACAGGAAUCUCCUGUCAUGCUGGGCACCAAGGAAAACAGGACUCUUGGUGCCCAGGGUUGGGCCCCCAGGACCCCAGAUUGACUCUGACACAGAAGGCCAGUGCCAGCAGGUUCCAGCAGGUGGGAGCCAGAAGAGAAGAGUUUGAGCCCAGCUCUCGGCCAGGAGACUCCUGUGCUGUCCCAGCACUGAGCCAGCAAGAACGGGAGGCGUCUCUGGAAAGUUGGCAUGGGGGUAGGUGCAGAGUGAGGCACCGAGCAGGACAAUGCGAGGCUGGGGCACUUACCCUGCUCUCAUCCCAGAACCAGGCAGCUGGGUGUCUCUGUCUCCCAGGUGGAAUUAGGUCUAGCCGAGUGCUGGUACCAGCAUUGCAUGGGCAUCACAGGCCCCUGCAGCCCGCCCCAUGCUCAGGCUGCCACCCUGCUGCUCCACGUCCACAGACUGAGCCUUUCAGGAGGAUGUGUGGGGCUCAGAGCCACCAGACUCCUGAGCAAGGAACACCCCAUGGAAAGGUGGGCUCUACACCUGCUGGAGCAGGGCACUUAGAUGGAACAGAGAACUGGAGGUAAUAAACACAUGUAUGAAAAACCCUAUCCCUCAUACCCUUGAAGAGAUAACGUAUCACAUCCGUGGUCUAGGAAUAGGAUGUUGCAAAAAAAAAAAGGAACAAAGAAUAAGAGCUCUUAGAAAUUAAAAAAAAAUAGCAGAAAUGAAACAUUUGAUUGAAGUUAAAUUUCUCAUGAAGUAGAAACAACAAAUGAAAAGCAGUAGGGAAAACAUAAGAUUACGCCAUCAAGGGAUGGGAAUUCAGCUCAGUGGCACCAUACCUGCCUUGAAAGCGCAAGGUCCUGAGUUUGAUCCCCAGUAUGGGAAACAACAACUGACCAUUAAUCCGGGAGAUCUAAGCUGUAAUUAAUAUGAGUUCCACAAAGCACAGAGGACAUCAUCAAGUUAAUAAUCUACCAGAAAGUGUCUACCCAGGACGCCGGCUCCAGGCUGAAGG